UGAGGAACAUGACCUUCGGCGGGGGAUAGCCGGCCCAACGGCCGGGUAAUACCGCGUACGACCACAUGGGGACAUCCCUGAGUGGUGAAAGCAGCAAUGCGCCGAUGGAGUGCCUCGCGGCCUAUCAGCUAGUUGGUGAGGUAACGGCUCACCAAGGCGACGACGGGUAGCUGGUCUGAGAGGAUCGACCCGGCCACACGUGGGACUGAGACACGGCCCAGACUCCGUAGGGACG
rnacentral:rRNA from 1 species